GCCGGAUCAGCUCAGUUGGCAGAGCAGUUCAUUCGUAAUGAAAAGGUCACCAGUUCGAAUCCGGUAUCCGGCACCA
rnacentral:tRNA from 1 species